AGGACUAUACUUUCAGGGAUCAUUUCUGUAGUUGGUCACUAGAGGAGAGUGAUCGCACCUGACCGGCGUCACAAGCCACGAGGAGGAGCGGAGUGCUCUCUCCUGAGCGCGAGGCGGGCGGUGGGCGCUGCGUGUGCAGGAGCCGCCGCCAUCGAUGACCGUUCCCGCCCCUUUGGGGGGGGGAGGGCGAGAGCA
rnacentral:snoRNA from 1 species